rnacentral:tRNA from 1 species
GGUGGUAUAGCUCAGUGGUAGAGCAUGUGCCUAGCAUGUAUGAGGUCCUGGGUUCAAUCCUUGGUACCUCCA